rnacentral:misc_RNA from 1 species
CCCAGGGAAAAUGGAAGCAAAGGGCUCAAACGAAGAAGGGUAACAACUCUGAAUCCAUUUUCACCAAUUGCUUUGUCAAUGGCAAGAAACUUUUUAUUUCCUUCAACCAGUUUAAGAAUCCGCCGAGCAAAAUAUCUAGCUAUUAGAAAGGCCACACUAGCAGCAACUGUUCCACUUAUAGAGACGAUAAUGGUGCCAAUAACAGAGCCAAAAAGAAGACCUGCUGACAUGGUUAAUGGAAUUGCUGGAAUUGCAAGGAUUUCCAGUCCUGCAUAAACUGCUACAAAUAAAGCAUAUCCAGCUGGUCCAUAACCUUCAAUAAACCCGGAAAGCUGGUUCAAAAAAGCAUUGAUCUGAUCCUUGUAAACAUAUCCAACAGCGGCAAACCCACCAACAACACCCACAAGCAAUACCCCAGCCAAAAGGGUACCUUUAACAGCGGUGUCCCCUUGCAAUCCCCCAUCAG